ACACACUGACAGAUGCUCUGAACUUUUAUACAUUCAUCUAAUGGUGUAGAAAUUGAUACACAAGAAGUAUUUAUUGGGACAGGCAAAGAGCAUGAGGUAGGCCUGUCUGUGGGAGCUGCAUUAGUGUCCAUUUCUCAUAACACAACCGAAUUUACAUGAGGAAUGGACCAGGGACUUUCUGUGUGCUGAAAUUUGUGGAGCUUGAUGUUCAAUUAAAGCUAGCAGAGGCUUAUUGGGAAUUUCUCUAUCUUCAGUCACCAGUGUACAUGAUGAGAAAGAUUGGAAGAGUCCACUGUGCUACAUUAGAAUUCUUCUUGGCCUUUAAUUUGUUAACUUUCUAGUGGACAAGCAAUGGAGAUGCUGAAGGGUUAAGAUUGGAUCGCAAGAUUCUUCAAUCCAUUUUGGGGCAUUUUAGGGGCAUUGAUAAAGCGGUGCCUGGUAUGCAUUUGUGACUUCUUGUCUUUUAUUCUUCUCCGCUUUCAUCAUAUUGUGAAUGUUGUAAAAUAGCCAUUGAGAAAUUUUGUCCUGUCUAGCUAUCAAAAGUGAUUAUUAUUUGAAAGCAAAGUUUUGUAUUCAGCUCUUUGUAAUUUUUUCUUUGCCUGUUGGAGAGAUGCAACUGAGUGAGUAGAGGAUAUACAGAUUUUUCAGUUUCAUGAUAUUUGAUUAAUUGGAAUUGAAUUUUGUUGAUAUAUUAUUAUUAUUUUUUUUUUCUGCAA